GACGAACGCUGGCGGCGUGCUUAACACAUGCAAGUCGAACGGAAAGGCCCCUUUGGGGGUACUCGAGUGGCGAACGGGUGAGUAACACGUGAGUAACCUGCCCUUGCCUUCGGGAUAACUUCAGGAAACUGGGGCUAAUACCGGAUAGGAAUCCUUGCUGCAUGGUGGGGGUUGGAAAGCUUCGGCGGUUUUGGAUGGACUCGCGGCUUAUCAGCUUGUUUGUGGGGUAGUGGGUUACCAAGGCUUUGACGGGUAGCCGGCCUGGGAGGGCGACCGGCCACAGUGGGACUGAGAUACGGGCCAGACUCCUACGGGAGGCAGCAGGGGGGAAUAUUGCACAAUGGGCGGAAGCCUGAUGCAGCAACGCCGCGUGCGGGAUGACGGCCUUCGGGUUGUAAACCGCUUUCAGCAGGGGCGAAGCUUGUGGUGACGGUACCUGCAGAAGAAGCACCGGCUAACUACGUG
rnacentral:rRNA from 1 species